rnacentral:SRP_RNA from 1 species
GCCGAGCCUUGUAACUGGGGCUUGUAACCAAGUGGGGCAAUAAAGUGCUUGGAUGUUGAAGAAUGGGCUUAGUAGAUGCGAAGAUUGUUGGGCCUGUCUACUCUCAGCAAAAUUGGGCACGUCUCACAAUUCUACAUGAAUUGCCAGCAUUACAAACCCAAAUGAUUCCGAGGUAAAGCUUGAGGGGCCUCGAGGCUGUGGCGAGGACUACUUACCACACCUGUUGGAGAGGCACAUCACUUUCGCAAAAACGUGCCUACUGGGCUUAUUCCAACACACAACCACUUUU